rnacentral:lncRNA from 1 species
ACAGCACGCAAGGCUUUACUCUGAAAAGUCAUUAUCUCUUGAUCAACAGCCUACUUUUUCCCUGAGACCAUCAAUGUGUCCUGUUUGUAGCAGUCAAUUCCAGAUAAAAAAUACCUAAGCUGUUUACUCCUGGCUCUGCCUUGCUGGACAGAACUCACUGGAAAGUGAAACAGCAAAACAGAGACCAGCAGAGAGAGGGAGGGAGGAAGGGAGAGAGACUGACUGAAAGAGACUGAGACUCAGAGAGAAGCACAAAGAGAAAGACAGACACAUGAGCAUCCAGAAAGAAUGGAAUGGAACAGAACAGAAUGGAAUGGAACAGAAAGGAAUGGAAAGGAAAGGAAUGGAAUGGAAUGGAAAGGAACAGAAUGGAAAGGAAAAGAAAAAAGAAAAAGAAAAGCCAAGCCAAGCUAAAGCCAAGCCCCAUCCUGGGAACUGGCUGCACCUCUUGCAUUCAGGUCCUGGAAGAUCCCCCCUUUGACUCCUGCAAAGAGACUCCCCUGUUUGCUUGAGGGAGCCUAGGCAGUCUACUCCUGCCAACCACAGUUUCCUUGGUAAGAUCUACUCCUCUGGGCCUGCCCUGAGCCCCAGUCACAGAAGCUAAUGAUGAGAACCAGCCCACAGUUGGUGCCCAAUCAAGACUGGUUGAAGGUAUGGAUGGAUGGAUGAGUGAAUGGGUGAAUAAAUAGAUAGAUGAUGGAUGGGUGGAUGAAUGUAGGAUAGAUGGAUGGAUGGGGCAGAGAAAGGAAAUAGAAUGGGCAGGAUGCAUGUGGACCCACCUGUGACAUUUUUUGUGGUUUUGGAGCUUGCCUUGGGUGGCGGAGUGGGCAGCAGUGGGGGGCUGGGGAGCUGGCCCACGGAUCUCUCCAGAGGUCUGGGAGGACUGUCCAGGGAGUCACUUUGCCUGCUCCCACCACACAGCUUCACCUCCAGCUUUACAGGGGAAACUGAGGUCAUCAGACCGGGGCUCCUCUUGGAUUUCUGACUCAAAUGCAAACUGCUGUCCCCAGCAUCUCUAUUCUUCCUUCCCUCUGAUCCAAGAGAGAUGGUCUCCCUGGGACCAGCACUCCCUCACUUCCUGCCCUCUCAGCACACUCUUGAGUGCUAAGGCCUGUGGAAGGCACCUGGCAUACAUCAUCUUAUUCAGUUUUUACAACUACCCAAUGAAGAACACACGAACACUCUCCCCACUGUAUGUCUAAGGGAAAAGCCUAGUGGAGCUGGGGCUUGUCCUUGGGUCACUGUGUUAGCUCCUAUGGGGUUCAUUCAUCUAUCAGCUGCUGUUUCUGGAGGUACCCAAGAGCUGUUGGGUGCUGUCCAUGGUGCUGAAAACACAGUGG